UAGAGUUUGAUCCUGGCUCAGAUUGAACGCUGGCGGAAUGCUUUACACAUGCAAGUCGAACGGCAGCACGGGAGCUUGCUCCUGGUGGCGAGUGGCGAACGGGUGAGUAAUGUAUCGGAACGUACCCCGUCGUGGGGGAUAACUCUCCGAAAGGAGAGCUAAUACCGCAUACGACCCGAGGGUGAAAGCGGGGGACCUGGGGUAACCUGGGCCUCGCGCGAUGGGAGCGGCCGAUAUCGGAUUAGCUAGUUGGUGGGGUAAAGGCCUACCAAGGCGACGAUCCGUAGCGGGUCUGAGAGGACGACCCGCCACACUGGAACUGAGACACGGUCCAGACUCCUACGGGAGGCAGCAGUGGGGAAUUUUGGACAAUGGGCGCAAGCCUGAUCCAGCCAUUCCGCGUGAGUGAAGAAGGCCUUCGGGUUGUAAAGCUCUUUCAGCAGGAACGAAACGGUGGGUCUUAAUACGGCCUGCUAAUGACGGUACCUGCAGAAGAAGCACCGGCUAACUACGUGCCAGCAGCCGCGGUAAUACGUAGGGUGCGAGCGUUAAUCGGAAUUACUGGGCGUAAAGCGUGCGCAGGCGGCGACAUAAGACAGAUGUGAAAUCCCCGGGCUCAACCUGGGAACGGCGUUUGUGACUGUGUGGCUAGAGUGUAGCAGAGGGGGGUGGAAUUCCACGUGUAGCAGUGAAAUGCGUAGAGAUGUGGAGGAACACCGAUGGCGAAGGCAGCCCCCUGGGUUAACACUGACGCUCAUGCACGAAAGCGUGGGGGAGCAAACAGGAUUAGAUACCCUGGUAGUCCACGCCCUAAACGAUGCCAACUAGGUGUUGGGGGAGGAGACUUCCUUAGUACCGUAGCUAACGCGUGAAGUUGGCCGCCUGGGGAGUACGGUCGCAAGAUUAAAACUCAAAGGAAUUGACGGGGACCCGCACAAGCGGUGGAUGAUGUGGAUUAAUUCGAUGCAACGCGAAAAACCUUACCUACCCUUGACAUGUCCGGAAUCCCGAAGAGAUUUGGGAGUGCUCGAAAGAGAGCCGGAACACAGGUGCUGCAUGGCUGUCGUCAGCUCGUGUCGUGAGAUGUUGGGUUAAGUCCCGCAACGAGCGCAACCCUUAUCAUUAGUUGCCAUCAUUGAGUUGGGCACUCUAAUGAGACUGCCGGUGACAAACCGGAGGAAGGUGGGGAUGACGUCAAGUCCUCAUGGCCCUUAUGGGUAGGGCUUCACACGUCAUACAAUGGUCGGUACAGAGGGUUGCCAACCCGCGAGGGGGAGCUAAUCUCACAAAGCCGAUCGUAGUCCGGAUCGCAGUCUGCAACUCGACUGCGUGAAGUCGGAAUCGCUAGUAAUCGUGGAUCAGCAUGUCACGGUGAAUACGUUCCCGGG
rnacentral:rRNA from 1 species